CACGGAAUUAGCCGGUCCUUUUUCUGAAGGUACAUACAAUAGAGGACACGUCCUCUUUUUAUUCCCAACUAAAAGCAGUUUACAGCCCAGAGGGCCGUCAUCCUGCACGCUACUUGGCUGGUUCAGACUUUCGUCCAUUGACCAAUAUUCCUCACUGCUGCCUCCCGUAGGAGUCUGGACCGUGUCUCAGUUCCAGUGUGGGGGACCUUCCUCUCAGAACCCCUACCGAUCGAAGGCUAGGUGGGCCGUUACCCCGCCUACUACCUAAUCGGACGCAUCACCAUCUCAUACCGAUAAAUCUUUGGUUAUAUCACCAUGCGGUAACAUAACAACAUCGGGUAUUAAUCUUAACUUUCGCAAGGCUAUCCCCGAGUAUGAGGCAGGUUUGAUACGCGUUACGCACCCGUGCGCCGGUCGCCAUCAGAAGAAGCAAGCUUCUUCCAUGCUGCCCCUCGACUUGCAUGUGUUAAGCCUGUAGCUAGCGUUCAUCCUGAGCCAGGAUCGAAACUA
rnacentral:rRNA from 1 species